GUGCUGUUAGCAGCUAAUGAAAACAAUGACCGCAAGGAUUAUAAUGUUUUGUUGUUUGCGCUUUAUAUGCGAUUUUACACGAUUUCUGCGAACCUGCUGGAGGAAGGAUAUAGUGCUCUGGGGACAUGUUGAAUGCAUGAUAUACAGGAGUUCUUCCAAGUCAAAGAAAAGGAAACAGGACCGCUGUGUAUGAGGCUUGGAUCCCUGUAAACCAGUCAGAGAACUACGUCCUCACAGCGAAUUGUACCUGCAUGGCAGGGGGCAGAACUGGCACCUUUUUAUGUGACUGACCCAGCUGCAGCCUCAGGUGGAUCAGGACAAGAUUCAGCUCCCUGAACAGCUUCUACAAUGGCUGAAAAUUAUGCCAAGACAUUGUGUGGACAUCGUCAAACAAAUUUUUGUUUUAAGCUUCAUGCUCUUUUUUCAAACCUGUUUAGAUUUCAUUGCUAGCUGGCCAUCACCAGCCACAGUGGGAGAAACAUAACCCUAACCUAAAGGACCUAACCCUAAAGGACUACAGGUAUACCUGUGAUCACGGCCCCUCGUCUGUGACCCACUGUGUGUGUGUAAAUAUAUAAGGGGGGGUGGGAGCGGGGUGCUGUGUGAGCCUCUGGCACGCCUUCAGCAGCAUUCAGGUUUAUUUCAGGCUUUCAACUUGCCAAUGGAAACAUAAACAUCAUCCUGCCUCACAGACCCUAAAGCUGUAAUGGACUGUUUAAUAAUGCACAGUAACGUGCCCUUUUUGGCCUGUUGGAAAUAAAAGUUGGAUAGAUCAUGCAAAGGAGGCAAGGAGCAGUCCUGCCUUCUCACUGCUCUCAUUCCUCUCACAUG